CUGUUUUUUUUUUUUUUUUUUUUUUUUUUAGUCCAUUCAGCCACUGUAUGUCUUUUGAUUGGAGCAUUUAAUUCAUUUACACUCAAUUAAUGAUAGGUGAGAUUCCAGUGUUUCCUCCAGAAAGGCACAUUAUUCCUCCACCAUGGUCUUCUUUUUCCUGUGUACCUUGACCCUGUAGGAGAUGAGACUUCUAAAGUGAUUCCUUUCCCUCUUUUCUCCUCAUCACCCCUUCCCACUCUCUAAGGUCUCCUGGAUCCAGCCCCAAGUCUCAUCUUUCCUCUUAUUUGUCCACCAUUUUGCUUGAUCCAUAUGGUUUUCAGGUGCUGGUUCCAUGGCUCUUCCUGAGCCGAAAAUAAGGAAACUCCAUAGACCUUGUCCACUGGAACUCGUUCCCAUCUACCCUCCACUCUAUCCAGCCCCAUGAGGACAAGGAACAUGAUUGGUUUUGCUCACUGCCGUAUCUUCCGUACCUAGUACGUAACAGGACAUCAAUAAAUAUUAGUUGAAUGGAAGAUUAAAUCAACAAAAUGGGUGAUGGAUCUCUGCAGUAAGUGGAAGAGUUCUUCAUGGCCCCCAAGGUUAUAUCCAUCUAGAACUUCAGCACGUAAUUUCAUCUGGAAAUAGUGCCUUUGCGGAUAUAAGUUAGGUAAAACUGAAGAUGAGAUCAUACUGGAUUAGGAUGGGAUCUAAAUCCAAUGAAAAUGUCUUCAUAAAAAACAGGAAAGAACCCAUAGAAACACAAGGAAGAAGGUCAUGUGAAGAUGGAGGCAGAGAUUGGAGGGAUGCAGCCACCGGCCCAGGAAUGCCAGCAGCCACCCAGAAGCUGGAAGGAAAUGAGGGAUUCUCUCCUAGAACCUUUAGAGAGAACAUGGUCCUGUGAACAGCUUGAUUUUGGACUUGCCCAUAGCUUGUAUACUCUUACUUUGGAUACAAUUUUAUCCAAACUUGGCUAAACAGUUUCUCAGCCUAUGGAAAAUUUAAAAUGGAGAAGAUUCAACUCGAUUCUUACAGAUUCAAAGCAAGAAAAUGAUGGGAACAUAGGAGGAGACCAAGAAAGCCUAUAAAAAGCAAAAAUAUGAAGUGAACAUUGUGGUAGCUUUAAGAUGUUUAGUGUAGCUGCAGGCACCCUAUACACAUGAAAACCCCCAAGGGGAAUCCCCAUAUCACAGUGUAGUGUGAUAUUUGACAUUCGUGAUCAUCUAGAGAUGUACAGAAAAGGUGAAUCUGUGUUCUGUAUAUUCUGCCUAAGGCAAAGAAAUGUUUAGCUCUCUUUAAAAUAGUUCCAUAAUUUUUUCUAAAAAGCUUUGCUUGAAAACUGUAAGCUUCCCAUAUCUGGAGCAUUUCACUUUAAAUAUUUGGAUAAAUAUGUUAUCUUCUUACUUGGACAUUUCAUGUGUUUAGGGAUUGUCUUCUAAAUUCUUCCUAAUUCAUAUAGCUGCUAACACUUCCCGCAGAGCUAAACCAUUACAGAUAUGAAAUAAAGACCUAUUGAUUUGACUUACUUUUACUUG
rnacentral:lncRNA from 1 species